rnacentral:rRNA from 1 species
AGAGCGAACGCUGGCGGCAGGCCUAACACAUGCAAGUCGAACGGACCCUUCGGGGUUAGUGGCGGACGGGUGAGUAACACGUGGGAACGUGCCUUUAGGUUCGGAAUAGCUCCUGGAAACGGGUGGUAAUGCCGAAUGUGCCCUUCGGGGGAAAGAUUUAUCGCCUUUAGAGCGGCCCGCGUCUGAUUAGCUAGUUGGUGAGGUAAAGGCUCACCAAGGCUACGAUCAGUAGCUGGUCUGAGAGGAUGACCAGCCACAUUGGGACUGAGACACGGCCCAAACUCCUACGGGAGCAGCAGUGGGAAUCUG